rnacentral:rRNA from 1 species
UACGGGGGGGGCAAGCGUUGUUCGGAAUUACUGGGCGUAAAGGGCUCGUAGGCGGCCAACUAAGUCGGAUGUGAAAUCCCCAGGCUUAACCUGGGAACUGCAUCCGAUACUGGUCGGCUUGAAUCCGGGAGAGGGAUGCAGAAUUCCAGGUGUAGCGGUGAAAUGCGUAGAUAUCUGGAGGAAUACCGGUGGCGAAGGCGGCAUCCUGGACCGGCAUUGACGCUGAAAAGCGAAAGCUAGGGGAGCAAACGGG